AUUGAACGCUGGCGGCAGGCCUAACACAUGCAAGUCGAACGAGUGGCGGACGGGUGAGUAAUGUCUGAGAAACUGCCUGAUGGAGGGGGAUAACUACUGGAAACGGUAGCUAAUACCGCAUACAGUAGGAUGUGCCCAGAUGGGAUUAGCUAGUAGGUGGGGUAAAGGCUCACCUAGGCGACGAGCCAUAGCUGGUCUGAGAGGAUGACCAGCCACACUGGAACGGGGACACGCUCCAGACUCCUACGGGAGGCAGCAGUGGAGAAUAUGGCACAAUGGGCGCAAGCCUUAUGCAGCCAUGCAGCGUGUAUGAAGAAGGCCUUCGGGUUGUAAAGUACUUUCAUCGGGGAGGCGUUACCCGCAGAAGAAGCACCGGCUAACUCCGUGCCAGCAGCCGCGGUAAUAC
rnacentral:rRNA from 1 species